AGUCACAGGGACCUCACACCCACAAAAUUGGUGCUGCACAAAAUAGUGUCACACGGACACAACCACACAUCCACUCUUAACACACACAGGACACAACUACACAAUCAUAGACACCUCCACACCCGUAUACACAGGCACAAUCACACCACUAACGCAGUUACACAAUCUACUCACCACCAUGACACACAAAGACACAUUCAAAAUAGCGCAUCCUCAGCCCGUUCCCGCCAGCGCGCACAAACCCAAGGCUCUGGACACGCCCCGUCCCCGCCCCAGACUCCCAGACCCCUCACCUUCUGCCUCCCCUUGGUCGCGUCCGGGUCCCGGCGGAGCAAACGAUCUCGCCACGACGUCAAAGAGACACGUAACGCUGGGCCGCUGUGGACUCUGGGAAACGUAGUCCAGGACCAGACCAGCCAGAGACAUGAUGGCGUCCUCAAACCAGAAAGUCAGAGCUCGGCCUAUAUGACACUGCUUCAAAGAGGAGGGUUCCAGCUCCAAACGUCCACCAGGCUUGAGCUGAUAUCCCCCCAAGGUUAUAAGCUGACCAAACUGUAUGUGAGUCUCUGUUGAAGCAAGAAGACGAACUCUGAAUGGUGGAGAAAAAAGUGGAAAUGAAAUUUGUCCAGGUGAGUGAAUCACAAGCAGGCAGUUCACAGUUGUUGAAUCAGCAUUACCACCUCUGUAACGCUUUUAAGUAUGUUUCCUUACAGGCCUUAGUGUUAGGAUAUCACUUGGUAGAAUUUGCUAGAUACCUGAAGAGUAUUUCUAGUCAUCAUAUUUUCUUGUAGUAAUCUAACUUCUUAAAUCAGAUUCUAGGGGGGCAGAUGCCCUCUUAUCUAUUCUGCAUGUCAAAAAAUCACUUCAUUUGUACUGCCUCUGUGAUUGUUCUCUUUCAUGAUACCCUCAGUCUCAUAUCCUCUGGUGUGUAUAAACUCUUUAUCUUGUCCAUUGUCUUUUAUAAGUCUUAAGUGUUAACAUAUCAUUUGAUAUUUAGGUCCCUUUUUAUUACUUACCAGCUUCUCUCAUUCUUUCAGUGGUUAAAUGCUUCAGCAUUAUAUUUUACAUCUGUGAUCACACAUCUUAUCCACCUCCCCAUUAUACAUCAACAAAACUCCUGCCUCCUUCCCUUCUGCUCCCAUGUACCUCUUUCAGAAGUUUUUAUCUUAGAAAUUAAUUCUGCCUUUCUGCUAUGUGUGGUAUAUGUAUGCAUGGAUGUAUGAGUUUGCAUUUGUUUUUUUUGUUUUUUUUUUUUUUUUUUUUUUUUUUGCUAUUUCUUGGGCCGCUUCUGCGGCAUAUGGAGGUUCCCAGGCUAGGGGUUGAAUCGGAGCUGUAGCCACCGGCCUACGCCAGAGCCACAACAACGCGGGAUCCAAGCCGGGUCUGCAACCUACACCACAGCUCACGGCAACGCCAGAUCGUUAACCCACUGAGCAAGGGCAGGGACCGAACCCGCAACCUCAUGGUUCCUAGUCGGAUUCGUUAACCACUGCGCCACGACGGGAACUCCUGCAUUUGGUUUUUAAUACGAUUCUGGAAUUUGUAAAAAGUUUUGAACAUCCAGGCAUGCAGUGAAAAAAAUCUCUUCUGACCCUCAGUCCUAUAGUUCUUUUUCAAAGACACAGUCACUUUUAAGAGUUUCACAUGUAUCCUUCUUGAGUUAGUCUAUGAAUAAACCAAAUAUUAUGUGUCUGCUGCA
ensembl:lncRNA